rnacentral:tRNA from 1 species
GCAUCGGUGGUUCAGUGGUAGAAUGCUCGCCUGCUGCGCGGGCGGCCCGGGUUCGAUCCCGGCCGAUGCA